ACUUUGAAUCUGUAAUCGUUAGGGUAAAUGUAUGGAAAACAACAUCAUACUUCAAUCAAGUUGUACUGUUCCAUAAAAAAAAGCUGGCCCCAGAAGUCGUCGAAUCGUGCAGCUGGACAAUGCAACAGAGUCGUUUUUGCACAAAAAUAGUCAUCGGUCAGAGGCUUUCGCUUGUAGCAUACUAGCAAUCCGUAUGGGAACAGGCAAGUCUUUGCAGCUGCGUUGUUAGGUCUAUAAUUUUGCCGCCAUGUUUUUCCUUUCGUUCGGGCACAAUGCGGGUGCUCAGAUGUGGUGUCUAAUUUUGUGGAUCUAGGUUUUUUUUGCUUCAUCGAUUGGAUAAAUAAUCAAACAUCCAGGAAAAAAAAACCGCUCUUGUUCUACUGCAGUGAUCACUAUGCUGGAGCUGACUGUAAGCUCAGUGGGAUAAGAAUUAUGUUUUUACCUCUUGGGAAUAGAAUUUCUGGUUUUUGCCAUACCGGUUCGCCGACGUUAUGCAUAUGCCGAUGUCCAGCUGUCCAGCUCCCGUGGCCCCAUUGAGCUCUCCCGUAGCGCAGCGCUUGGUAACAUUGGUCGCGUUGUACAAGGCGCAAAUCAAGCUUACAGAUUGUGCCUCGAUUGAAUCGAUCGCUGCUCACCGCUUGAAUGCAUUUCUGCAGCAACAGCAGCCUCGGCCCCCGGACACCAGCCGUUACGGGCUCUGCGGUGCAUUGGGCUAUUUCCUGCCGUACAUGAAACAUGCACUCCCGUUGGUGCCAUUACGUUAGCAAAAAGCGAAAGUGUAACUGCAUGUGCGUUUUUAGGUACGGCAAUUUAUGGGCCAGCAUUUAUUUAUAACGCCCGCUUUGCCACGCACUGCACCACAUUGGCACCGCUGGAAUCGGUAAUGGUUUUCCUGUUCCGUGUCACCGUAUGGGUUAAACGUAAUUUUUUCCAUCUAUUUUUAAAAGGUUUUAGGUGUGUUUCCUACAUAAUCGAAAGCAUAACAUGAUCCAUGGGCGAUCGUAUUAUUUUACAUAGUUGAUUUUUUUUACAUUGCUUUGUGUGAUCGGUAAAAGGGGGAACUAAAGCUGAAUGUUUUUGCAAUACAAUCAUACCAUUAAUCACUGAUUAAAAAAACCAAAAUAUACCUGGGCAAAGGAUUUACUAAUGCAAUAAUAAUUGGAAGAAGCAAAAUUAAAUGAAAACAAAAAAGCAAAUGCUGUAAUUACGAACGAAAUACUACUGUAAGGUAUUUUAUGUUAGCUUUGUCACUUCCAGAACGAUUUGCUUUAUUGUAAGUAGUUUGUAUUUUUUUGUAUUUAGCAGUAGUAAGUAGUUGAAUUUUUUCUGCCUUUUGUGGUUUUCUUCUAUUGUUUCUGUCGGCUCAAUGGUCUAGGGGUAUGAUUCUCGCUUUGGGUGCGAGAGGUCCCGGGUUCAAAUCCCGGUUGAGCCCUCGAUAUUUUAUAUCAAAGGUAGAAAUGUUGUUGUAGAAGAAAGUUUACUUUAUUGUGAAUGAAUCCUUUCCAUGUAGUCUGCGUAUGUGUGUGUCUUCUAUUGUUUCUGUCGGCUCAAUGGUCUAGGGGUAUGAUUCUCGCUUCGGGUGCGAGAGGUCCCGGGUUCAAAUCCCGGUUGAGCCCUCGAUAUUUUAUAGCAAAGGUAGAAAUGUUGUUGUAGAAGAAAGAUUACUUUAUUGUGAAUGAAUCCUUUCGAUGUUGUGUGGGUAUGUGUGUGUCUUCUAUUGUUUCUGUCGGCUCAAUGGUCUAGGGGUAUGAUUCUCGCUUUGGGUGCGAGAGGUCCCGGGUUCAAAUCCCGGUUGAGCCCUCGAUAUUUUAUAGCAAAGGUAGAAAUGUUGUUGUAGAAGAAAGAUUACUUUAUUGUGAAUGAAUCCUUUCGAUGUUGUGUGGGUAUGUGAGUGUCUUCUAUUGUUUCUGUCGGCUCAAUGGUCUAGGGGUAUGAUUCUCGCUUCGGGUGCGAGAGGUCCCGGGUUCAAAUCCCGGUUGAGCCCUCGAUAUUUUAUAGCAAAGGUAGAAAUGUGUUGUAGAAGAAAGAUUACUUUAUUGUGAAUGAAUCCUUUCGAUGUACUCUGCGUAUGUGUGUGUCUUCUAUUGUUUCUGUCGGCUCAAUGGUCUAGGGGUAUGAUUCUCGCUUUGGGUGCGAGAGGUCCCGGGUUCAAAUCCCGGUUGAGCCCUCGAUAUUUUAUAGCAAAGGUAGAAAUGUUGUUGUAGAAGAAAGAUUACUUUAUUGUGAAUGAAUCCUUUCGAUGUUGUGUGGGUAUGUGAGUGUCUUCUAUUGUUUCUGUCGGCUCAAUGGUCUAGGGGUAUGAUUCUCGCUUUGGGUGCGAGAGGUCCCGGGUUCAAAUCCCGGUUGAGCCCUCGAUAUUUUAUAGCAAAGGUAGAAAUGUGUUGUAGAAGAAAGAUUACUUUAUUGUGAAUGAAUCCUUUCGAUGUACUCUGCGUAUGUGAGUGUCUUUUAUUGUUUCUGUCGGCUCAAUGGUCUAGGGGUAUGAUUCUCGCUUU